rnacentral:tRNA from 1 species
ACCCAGCUGGCUCAGCAGCAGAGCAUGGGACUCUUGAUCUCAGGGUUGUGAGUUUGAGCCCCAUGUUGGAUG